UACAUACACAAGCUCAAUCACUAGGAAACUGUUGUUUUUUUUCUUUUUUAAUGUGGUACUUGAAGAAGCCUAGGUUCUCCAACUCAGCCCAGGAAGCACAGUAGAUGGGGCCAACAAUGAGUGACCACACAUCAUUGACUGCAACAUGCGCUUGCUGCUAUGGAAAUACGUCACAUCUCUG